rnacentral:rRNA from 1 species
UGGUAAUUCUAGAGCUAAUACAUGCUGAAAACCCCGACUUCCGGAGGGGUGUAUUUAUUAGAUAAAAAACCAACGCCCUCCGGGGCUCCUUGGCGAAUCAUAAUAACUCAACGAAUCGCAUGGCCUUGCGCCGGCGAUGGUUCAUUCAAAUUUCUGCCCUAUCAACUUUCGAUGGUAGGAUAGUGGCCUACCAUGGUUUCAACGGGUAACGGGGAAUUAGGGUUCGACUCCGGAGAGGGAGCCUGAGAAACGGCUACCACAUCCAAGGAAGGCAGCAGGCGCGCAAAUUACCCAAUCCCGACGCGGGGAGGUAGUGACAAUAAAUACUGAUACAGGGCUCUUUUGGGUCUUGUAAUUGGAAUGAGUACAAUUUAAAUCCCUUAACGAGGAACAAUUGGAGGGCAAGUCUGGUGCCAGCAGCCGCGGUAAUUCCAGCUCCAAUAGCGUAUAUUAAAGUUGUUGCAGUUAAAAAGCUCGUAGUUGAACCUUGGGCCUGGCUGGCCGGUCCGCCUCACCGCGUGCACUGGUCCGGCCGGGCCUUUCCUUCUGGGGAGCCGCAUGGCCUUCACUGGCCGUGUCGGGGAACCAGGACUUUUACUUUGAAAAAAUUAGAGUGUUCAAAGCAGGCCUUUGCUCGGAUACAUUAGCAUGGAAUAAUAGAAUAGGACGUGUGGUUCUAUUUUGUUGGUUUCUAGGACCGCCGUA